GCGGAAGGCUGGAUGGCCGCUGCGUCGGGGCGACCCGGCGGGGAGGAAAGUCCGGACUCCAAAAAGCAACGGUGCCGGGUAACGCCCGGGCAGGGCAACCUGACGGAAAGCGCCACAGAAAUGAAACCACCUGUCAUCAGGUCGGGCAACCGAAACCGAUGGCGGGAAAGGGUGAAACGGUGGGGUAAGAGCCCACCGCGCCGCUGGCAACAGCGGCGGCACGGCAAGCCCCACCGGGAGCAAUGCCAAAUAGGGAUCGCGUGUCGCAAGACAGGGCUGCUUUUGCCCCAGCAGAUCCGGGUUGGCAGCUAGAGCUCUGGAGGCAACUUCGGGGCAAGAGGAAUGGUCAUCGAUCCAGGGGCAUCCCUGGGGGACAGAAUCCGGCUUACAGGCCCUCCGCGCGC
rnacentral:RNase_P_RNA from 1 species